UACGUAGGGGGCGAACGUUGUCCGGAUUUAUUGGGCGUAAAGAGCUCGUAGGCGGUUCGAUAAGUCGGACGUGAAAUCUCCACGCUCAACGUGGAGGGGCCGUUCGAUACUGUCGUGACUCGAGUCCGGUAGGGGAGUGUGGAAUUCCCGGUGUAGCGGUGAAAUGCGCAGAGAUCGGGAGGAACACCCGUAGCGAAGGCGGCACUCUGGGCCGGUACUGACGCUGAGGAGCGAAAGCGUGGGGAGCAAACAGGG
rnacentral:rRNA from 1 species